CAAGGGAUUUUCCGCAAUGGGCGCAAGCCUGACGGAGCAACGCCGCGUGGGGGAGGACGCUUUUCGGAGUGUAAACCCCUUUUCUGGGGGACGAAGGUUUCUUCGGAGGCUUGACGGUACCCCAGGAAGAAGGCCCGGCUAACUACGUGCCAGCAGCCGCGGUAAUACGUAGGGGUCGAGCGUUGUCCGGAGUUACUGGGCGUAAAGCGUGCGCAGGCGGCUGCGUUAGCCUGGCGUGAAAGCCCCCGGCUCAACCGGGGAGGGUCGUCGGGGACGGCGCAGCUUGAGAGCGGCAGGGGCCGGUGGAAUCCCUGGUGUAGUGGUGAAAUGCGUAGAGAUCAGGGGGAACACCCGUGGCGAAGGCGGCCGGCUGGGCCGACUCUGACGCUGAGGCACGAAGGCGUGGGGAGCGAACGG
rnacentral:rRNA from 1 species